UACGGAGGGGGCUAGCGUUGUUCGGAAUUACUGGGCGUAAAGCGCACGUAGGCGGAUUGGAAAGUCAGGGGUGAAAUCCCGGGGCUCAACCCCGGAACUGCCUUUGAAACUCCCAGUCUAGAGGUCGAGAGAGGUGAGUGGAAUUCCGAGUGUAGAGGUGAAAUUCGUAGAUAUUCGGAGGAACACCAGUGGCGAAGGCGGCUCACUGGCUCGAUUCUGACGCUGAGGUGCGAAAGCGUGGGGAGAAAACAGG
rnacentral:rRNA from 1 species